rnacentral:lncRNA from 1 species
AUGGCGAAAGUGAUUAAAGUUUUUGUGAACAACUACCACCUAAGUGCCGCCGGGAUCCAGUUCCUCGUCGGCCUCACUACCGCGCUCAUGGUGCUCCGCUUCGUGCUGGACUAUCUUCGUCACCGGUCCAUCGGCUGGGUCAUGAGGAAUUUCCUGCUGAUGCUGGACACGGUGACGUACGCGCUCCUCCACUACAGCCUCGGGGUGAUGCAGCGGCCGUCCCUGAAGAACAGCUACUACCAGGUGUGGGCCGUCCUGCUCGUCACGCUCCGCUACAGGGUGAAGCAUGGCCGACCCGCCGGCGUGGCUUUGAGGCAGACCCCGUUGGUAGACCUCAUGUCCUCCUUCUGGGCUGCCAACAUCCUCCGCUCGCGCGCCCCGGCGCUGCUCAAGGUCCCCGUCUGGCUUCUCUGGUCCAUCAACUCCGCCAGGAUCAUCCAUGGCUUCGUCUCUUCGGAGCAUGCCACCGCUAGCCACAAGGAGAACGUGCGGCUGGUGACGGAGUACAUGCGCCCCCCCGAGAUGGCUGCUUCAUCUGCACCGGCGCCGGCGACCAACGCUGCCAGCGAGAUGGCCGGAUGCAGGUACUUGGUGCUCGGUGAGGCCAAACAGAGGAAGAAGGUGCGACACCCGAAUUACCGCCUCGAGCUGGAGCUGACAAAGGAGGAGAAGCUCAUCACUGUUGAGAAGAUUUGGAAGUGGUCGUCGGGCGACCACCAGAUGGUGGGUAGCCAUGGAAGGCGCGUGUCGGAGCUUCUCAACCAAGAGGUCAAAGGCAAGAGCAAGCUGACGCUCAAGGACCUCUGCCUCUCGUUUUCGCGCUCUACAAGCUGCUACGACGAAGAGACAAAGAGGUUGAUCUUCGAGGGGAUCCUAGAUUCUGCCCGCAAGCCCCCAGAUGCCGUGGCUGACUCUUGCUUUGGACUCAAGAAGCUGUAUCAAAAGAUCUUUGGUGUACAAGGAGAGGACAUCCAAGGAGGAGGUGAUCACCAUCCAAUUCCAAACUACCAGCGGGCACUCCAGAUCAGCAAGGUCGAACUGUCUUUCCUGAAUGACUUCUUCUUCAGCCGACACGCUCUCAUGUUUGCCACCGGGUUCCCUUUCCUGCGGCUCCUCUUCUCCACCCUCCUCAUCGGAGCCAUCUCCUACAUGGCCGUCGCCAUCCACCGUUUCUCCAAGACCGCCACCGAGGACGAGCUCGGGAGGGUGCGCGUGCACCACGGGGUGUUCUUCACGUGGAUCCUCCUCACGCUACUCGGUGUGAAAGAGAUUUUUGAGAUCGCAGGCUAUGUGCUGUCGGAUUGGACGAAGGUGCUGUUGGUGUGCAAGUAUGUUCGGCAACCAUGGUGGUUACGAGGCCCAGUGAUGGCGGUGUUGGUGAGACGACUUUGCAGGCAUUCCUUCGUCACAAGAUGGGAUGGAAAGAUCGGGCAGUUCAACCUUCUAUUCUGUAGACAUCGACGACACAGACUAGAAUUGACUGGUUUCGAUGAAGAUCUGCAGAAAGCAAUAUUCGUCAGCUUGAGAAACCGAUCUGACGACAAACAACCACCAUCGGAUAGGACUUACGUGGAUAGGGCAUUAUUACUUCUAUCCAGGGGGAAAUCUGAGACAAAAGAUGCCUUUGAGAAGGCCAUCCAUGCUGCACUCAAAGAGUACAAAGAAGAUGUUCACAGGAUACUGCUUUGGCACAUCGCUACCUGCUACUGUGAGUGCCAACUUGCUAACGAAAGACAAAUUGGUGUGAAGCGACCGUGGUAUGUGAGGAUUCCAUUGUUACCAACGCGCAAGAGUACCGGCGUAUCGGUAGGCCCGUUCAUCGAACUGCCAAAACUUGAUCAAACACUACAUGGAUAUCGAUGGACCGAGACCUCCAAGAAGCAUUACAUAACUGCGGUUAGGCUGUCUCAGUACUGCGCGCACCUGGUAAGGAUGACUCCUGCUUUGAUUCCAGGCAACGACAUCAUCAUCACCGCGGUCUUGCACGAAGUGCUCAGAGAAACCAAAGAGGCUCUCUUUGGGUGCUCUUCUGUCGGCGAGACAUUUCGGAAGCUCGAAGCAAUGGUUGAGCCCCAAAACAUCGAUCGAUCGACGACGACAGGGAGCGAAGCGAACCAACGAGAUGAGCAAGAAUCGACAGGGGAGGAAGCAAACGAUCCAGGCGACCAGAGAACCCUGCUGAAGGUGGGAUCAGAGCUUGGUCAGAAGCUGAUAGACGCCACUAGUGGCGAACAUGAAGCUCGUUGGGCGUUCUUGGAAGAGCUCUGGGCAGGGUACGUGCUGCACUUGGCCGAGUCCACGAGAGCAUCCAAGCACAAGAUAUAUCUGAGCAGGGGUGGGGAUCUCAUGACGCAUCUCUGGGCGCUGCUAUCCCAUGCUGGGUUCAUGGGGAGCAUCGAGCACGGCGAGAUGGGAGCCGGUGUACAGAACGAUGAAGUUCAAACAGAAGGGGUGUACGCCGACGGCUCGCGUCGCUCCAGCCCCAGGGGCGACGCGAGCGCCCCCACACGCGCCGGCCGCCGCCGCGCCUUCCCCCUCCCCUUCGCCUCGCCGCCGCCCGAGUGGCCCGCCGGAAAGCCAGCCGGGCGCAAGGACGGCGGCGGCGGGGCUUUCCUCGAAGUGGCGCCGCGGCUGGGGGGCAUCCCGGCGCCCGUGGCUGUGGAGGCGGCCAGAUCCGGGGCUGGGGCGGCGACGGCGGCGGGGCAGAGAAGGUGGCGGUGGCGACGGGGCGGACGAGGCGCCGCUGGCGGUGGCCGACGGGGCGGAGGAGGUGCUGGCGACAGCGGCGACAGGACGGGGGUGGAGCUGGCAGCAGGGACAGGGCGGGUCCGGCGGCGCGCGGCGUCACCGGAUCUGGCAACCUCCUCGCCGGAUCCGGCGCCCCCCAGUCCGGAUCUGUCCUCUCCGGCGUGGGAGGCCGGAUCCCCUCCGUCGAGGCGGCGGCUGGCCAGCACGUCGUCGACAGUGUGCAGCCGGGUGUGGAGGCGGGGAAGAAAGAGACCGGCGGCUGUGUGGGCGCAACGUUGGCGGCGAGACCCGCGUGAGAGACGCGGCCUGAGGCCGGCACGGCGCGAAGACGGCGCAGUGCUCGGCGGCGACGACGGCGGUGCCUCCCCAAAUCCGCGCCUCUCGGCCGGAUCUAGAGGGUGGCCGGCUGUGGUGGUCGGCGACGGCGGUCGACUUGUGACGGUAGUUGGCAACGGCGGCGACGGGUGGUCGUUGCCGCCGACGACGCCGGCGGAGGACUUAGCGGCG